rnacentral:rRNA from 1 species
GAUGAACGCUAGCGGCAGGCUUAACACAUGCAAGUCGAGGGGCAGCAUACCCGGUGACGGGUGAUGGCGACCGGCGGAAGGGUGAGUAACGCGUGAGCAACAUACCCGUAUCAGUGGGAUAAUACAGGGAAACUUGUUCUAAUAUCACAUAAUAUUAUUCAGAGGCAUCUUUGGAUAAUUAAAGUUCAGGCGGAUACGGAAUGGCUCGCGUGACAUUAGCUAGAUGGUAGGGUAAAGGCCUACCAUGGCUAUGAUGUCUAGGGGUUCUGAGAGGGAGGUCCCCCACACUGGAACUGAGACACGGUCCAGACUCCUACGGGAGGCAGCAGUGAGGAAUAUUGGACAAUGGAUGAAAAUCUGAUCCAGCCAUGCCGCGUGCAGGAAGGCGGCCCUAUGGGUUGUAAACUGCUUUUGUACGGGAGCAAUAAGGUCUACGAGUAGAUUGAUGAGAGUACUGUACGAAUAAGCAUCGGCUAACUCCG